GGUGUUUCGGGUGACACUCAGUCUGUCUGGUGCCGAANAGAAAUCUUGAAACUCGCCGGGAGUAAAGUCGGUCGCUGAAUGAAACUUAAUUGAAUUGGCGGCGGAGCACCACAGGGGUGGAGCCUGCGGUUUACUUGGACUCAACGCCCGUAAACUCACCGGAACCGACAGCUGACUGAUUGACAGAUUGAAGAUUCUGCCUGACUAGCUGAGAGGAGGUGCAUGGUAUAAAGAAAAGCAUG
rnacentral:rRNA from 1 species